GAUAAACGCUGGCGGCGUGCCUAAUACAUGCAAGUCGAGCGAACGGACGAGAAGCUUGCUUCUCUGAUGUUAGCGGCGGACGGGUGAGUAACACGUGGAUAACCUACCUAUAAGACUGGGAUAACUUCGGGAAACCGGAGCUAAUACCGGAUAAUAUUUUGAACCGCAUGGUUCAAAAGUGAAAGACGGUCUUGCUGUCACUUAUAGAUGGAUCCGCGCUGCAUUAGCUAGUUGGUAAGGUAACGGCUUACCAAGGCAACGAUGCAUAGCCGACCUGAGAGGGUGAUCGGCCACACUGGAACUGAGACACGGUCCAGACUCCUACGGGAGGCAGCAGUAGGGAAUCUUCCGCAAUGGGCGAAAGCCUGACGGAGCAACGCCGCGUGAGUGAUGAAGGUCUUCGGAUCGUAAAACUCUGUUAUUAGGGAAGAACAUAUGUGUAAGUAACUGUGCACAUCUUGACGGUACCUAAUCAGAAAGCCACGGCUAACUACGUGCCAGCAGCCGCGGUAAUACGUAGGUGGCAAGCGUUAUCCGGAAUUAUUGGGCGUAAAGCGCGCGUAGGCGGUUUUUUAAGUCUGAUGUGAAAGCCCACGGCUCAACCGUGGAGGGUCAUUGGAAACUGGAAAACUUGAGUGCAGAAGAGGAAAGUGGAAUUCCAUGUGUAGCGGUGAAAUGCGCAGAGAUAUGGAGGAACACCAGUGGCGAAGGCGACUUUCUGGUCUGUAACUGACGCUGAUGUGCGAAAGCGUGGGGAUCAAACAGGAUUAGAUACCCUGGUAGUCCACGCCGUAAACGAUGAGUGCUAAGUGUUAGGGGGUUUCCGCCCCUUAGUGCUGCAGCUAACGCAUUAAGCACUCCGCCUGGGGAGUACGACCGCAAGGUUGAAACUCAAAGGAAUUGACGGGGACCCGCACAAGCGGUGGGGCAUGUGGUUUAAUUCGAAGCAACGCGAAGAACCUUACCAAAUCUUGACAUCCUCUGACCCCUCUAGAGAUAGAGUUUUCCCCUUCGGGGGACAGAGUGACAGGUGGUGCAUGGUUGUCGUCAGCUCGUGUCGUGAGAUGUUGGGUUAAGUCCCGCAACGAGCGCAACCCUUAAGCUUAGUUGCCAUCAUUAAGUUGGGCACUCUAAGUUGACUGCCGGUGACAAACCGGAGGAAGGUGGGGAUGACGUCAAAUCAUCAUGCCCCUUAUGAUUUGGGCUACACACGUGCUACAAUGGACAAUACAAAGGGCAGCGAAACCGCGAGGUCAAGCAAAUCCCAUAAAGUUGUUCUCAGUUCGGAUUGUAGUCUGCAACUCGACUAUAUGAAGCUGGAAUCGCUAGUAAUCGUAGAUCAGCAUGCUACGGUGAAUACGUUCCCGGGUCU
rnacentral:rRNA from 1 species